UAAUCCCGAUGUAAUUUCAGGUGAACUGCCAGCCGCCGUGCACGACGGCAACGGAGUUUCGAGAGCGUUCCUUAAUCUUUGGCUGGUUCACCUGACGAUGAGCUAUGUCUUCACCAGAUGACAGUAUUAAGAUCGUUUCAUCCCGUAUCUGGAUUUCUAUUCCGGAUGCAUUUGCAUGUCGCAACGGAUGCGGAUAGGCAGGUGCCACGUGCACAGAUGCAACGAUGCAGCUCAGUGCAAUGAUGCGGCGGAUUGUGUACUCAUCAUCCGGAUUACACAUCAUCACCUCGAUCGGUGGUGAAUUGGUGCGGGUAAAAUUGUAUCAAUCCGAUUUCGUCUCGAUAUGAUCGCGCAUUGUACGAUGCCUCGCGUCGCGAAGAUUUACAGUGCACGGCGCACGUCUCCGCGAAUAUGAAAUCUCGAGGAGCUCGAGCAUCGGAAGCUCGUACUAUAACGAUCCCGAAAGGAGAACAAAGUAGUGGAUAAAAAUCAUAGCAGGAACCCUUAACAAUCUCGAGAAGAUAGUGAAUGGAAGAUUCUUCAUCGAGGUAAAAAUUUAUUAAAAGUGGGCCACUGUGUACAGUUUGUUAAGUUACUUUCGUUCAGAUAAGUUGUGAAAAAUCGAGGACAUUUUUUGCUCAUCGUCGUCUGAUGGUGAGGAAAAUCCUCGUGUCGAUAAGACAAGACGGGGUGCUGUGAUGGCGAAGCCAAUGACAGGUUGCAAUAUAGUAUCCUUCAGAACUUUAUCUACGAGGAAAUGCCCUUCUCUUGACGUAAAUUUUUAUUUUCUCAAAAGCUUGACAUAAUGGCGAGAACUUGUUUAAAAUAUUCUUCGUAAAUACAACGUAAAUACAGCUACUAUUAUUAAAAAUGUAAUAAUAAUGAUUUAUGGUUUAUUGCAAGUUCGAUUAUUACACAAUAUAAAAUAUUUGUAAAGUACCUUUAACAAAUUACGUAUAAUAAAUGUGUGUUUUUUUAGUAAAUUA